rnacentral:rRNA from 1 species
UACGGGGGGAGCAAGCGUUGUUCGGAUUUACUGGGCGUAAAGGGCGCGUAGGCGGUCAGCACAAGUCAGUUGUGAAAUCUCCGGGCUUAACUCGGAAAGGUCAACUGAUACUGUGCGACUAGAGUGCAGAAGGGGCAACUGGAAUUCUCGGUGUAGCGGUGAAAUGCGCAGAUAUCAGGAGGAACACCGGUGGCGAAGGCGGUUCUCUGGGCAUGAUCUGACGCUGAGGAGCGAAAGUGUGGGGAGCGAACAGG